rfam:Lasius niger Lnig_2.1_23938, whole genome shotgun sequence.
CAAUCGGCCCUUUUUAGGGCCACCAAAAAUUACACAAAAACAAUC